UGUCCGAUGGUGUAAUGGUAGCACACAGCCCUUUGGAGGCUAUAGUCUUGGUUCGAAUCCAAGUCGGACAGCCA
rnacentral:tRNA from 1 species